AAGUAAAACUUAUUGCAUGUGUGCCAAGUGGUCAGAAAGGGAUCACACAUGCAACUCAUUCUUUUUCUUCAAGCCGAAAAUCCAUGGAGAGAAACAAGCUGAGGUAAUUUAGUCCUUGCAUACAGAAUACCUUCACCUCAUUAUCUCCCUCACAACCGUCAGCCCCUCAAGGUAAACAUCACAAAUAAUGCUUGCAACCUUUUCUCAUGAUUCUCACAAACCGUAAGCCUCUUAGAGGAAAGCACCAACAAUGCUGCAUUCCCUUCCUCCAUCAUCCCGCUCUCAAUGCGUGACCUUCCUAAGGAGACGGCAAAACGUCAAGCAUAUUCAUCUUUUUAAUUCUGGUCAGCCGUGUAACCUUAGGCAAGGAGGUUGAAGCCCAACAUCCUUCCCUCCUCUUGUGCGCACAGUCCACUUCAAGUAGGAGAAGUUCUGCCGUGUUGGAGUCACUCAUCCCCUGCAUGCAGCUGGUUCCUACGUUUUGGGACAGUGGAGAGUGCAGUGGUUGUCCUUCACUCGAAUGGAUGAUCCUUGGAUGCAGCCAAGAAAGCAAAUUGAGUCCCCAAGCCUUCCCUUCCUUUCUCUGAUUCGGCCCCUUGCAUGUGCACAAGUUCUUAGAUAAUUGGACUGUUCGAUGAUGUUUGGAAUGCUUGAUUUAAAAGUAAAGUGCCAAGGAGGACGUAAAAGCUUUUGGAGGACUUGGAUAUUUGCUGUUGGCUUCUACUGUUUGGGCAUGCUGCUAUUGAUGUGAUAUUUUAUGGAUGACUGUAUGAAAUUGAGAAGCUUUUAUUACUGUGAACUAUGAUUUUAUUAUUGCAUUACGAUUUUAUGACCAGCAAGUAUUUUCGAAACAGAUGUUGAAACGUUUGCGAAAAGGAUUUUGAUAUGUUAUCUAAAUGCUGAGUUUUGAAAAGUCUUUGCGAGCACUUUGUAAGUUGUCGUACUGGGGCUACGGAGCUCCGAUUUUCUCAUAAUUUAUAUGCACGCGUAGCCCCAGGUGUCUAGUUU